rnacentral:sRNA from 2 species
CGUUGCUACAGGCAACACCCAAAGCCACCAUGACCUGUAAGGUAGCGCUGAAAUAGCGGUCAAACCCAAGCCCGUUUAGCCUUUGCCAACGAGCGUCGCUACCCGCGAUUAAGGCACUC